GCCGGAAUGGACUAACCAAUUAAGCCAUCGCCUCGGAUAAGCGAAGGUUGCGGGUUCAAUCCCCGCUUUUGGCC
rnacentral:tRNA from 1 species